UGCGCAGGCGGGUUUGUAAGUCAGUGGUGAAAUACUGCCGCUUAACGGUAGGAUUGCCAUUGAUACUGCAAAUCUUGAGUAUGGUUGAGGUAGGCGGAAUGUGCAGUGUAGCGGUGAAAUGCUUAGAUAUUGUACAGAACGCCGAUUGCGAAGGCAGCUUACUAAGCCAUUACUGACGCUGAGGCACGAAAGCGUGGGGAUCGAACAGGAUUAGAUACCCUGGUAGUCC
rnacentral:rRNA from 1 species